rnacentral:rRNA from 1 species
GGUUAAUAUUCCCGUACUUCUGACUAUUGCGAUGGGGGGACGGAGAAGGCUAGGUGGGCCAGGCGACGGUUGUCCUGGUUCAAGUGCGUAGGUUUGAGAGUUAGGUAAAUCCGGCUCUCUUUAAGGCUGAGACACGACGUCGAGCUACUACGGUAGUGAAGUCAUUGAUGCCAUGCUUCCAGGAAAAGCCUCUAAGCUUCAGAUAGUCAGGAAUCGUACCCCAAACCGACACAGGUGGU